GUCUCCGGCCCACGCCGCCCUGAACGCGCCUGAUCCCGUCUGACCUCGGAGGCCAAGCAGGGUCGGGCCUGGUCAGCACCUGCACGGGGGAGACCGCCUGGGAACCCGGGUGCCGCGGGCU
rnacentral:rRNA from 1 species